AGAGUUUGAUCCUGGCUCAGGACGAACGCUGGCGGCGCGCCUAACACAUGCAAGUCGAACGAGAGAGAAGGAGCUUGCUUCUUCGAUCGAGUGGCGAACGGGUGAGUAACGCGUGAGGAACCUGCCUCAAAGAGGGGGACAACAGUUGGAAACGACUGCUAAUACCGCAUAAGCCCACGGGUCGGCAUCGACCUGAGGGAAAAGGAGCAAUCCGCUUUGAGAUGGCCUCGCGUCCGAUUAGCUAGUUGGUGAGGUAAUGGCCCACCAAGGCGACGAUCGGUAGCCGGACUGAGAGGUUGAACGGCCACAUUGGGACUGAGACACGGCCCAGACUCCUACGGGAGGCAGCAGUGGGGAAUAUUGCACAAUGGGGGAAACCCUGAUGCAGCGACGCCGCGUGGAGGAAGAAGGUCUUCGGAUUGUAAACUCCUGUUGUUGAGGAAGAUAAUGACGGUACUCAACAAGGAAGUGACGGCUAACUACGUGCCAGCAGCCGCGGUAAAACGUAGGUCACAAGCGUUGUCCGGAAUUACUGGGUGUAAAGGGAGCGCAGGCGGGAAGACAAGUUGGAAGUGAAAUCUAUGGGCUCAACCCAUAAACUGCUUUCAAAACUGUUUUUCUUGAGUAGUGCAGAGGUAGGCGGAAUUCCCGGUGUAGCGGUGGAAUGCGUAGAUAUCGGGAGGAACACCAGUGGCGAAGGCGGCCUACUGGGCACCAACUGACGCUGAGGCUCGAAAGUGUGGGUAGCAAACAGGAUUAGAUACCCUGGUAGUCCACACCGUAAACGAUGAUUACUAGGUGUUGGAGGAUUGACCCCUUCAGUGCCGCAGUUAACACAAUAAGUAAUCCACCUGGGGAGUACGACCGCAAGGUUGAAACUCAAAGGAAUUGACGGGGGCCCGCACAAGCAGCGGAGCAUGUGGCUUAAUUCGAAGCAACGCGAAGAACCUUACCAAGUCUUGACAUCCGCCUGACCGAUCCUUAACCGGAUCUUUCCUUCGGGACAGGCGAGACAGGUGGUGCAUGGUUGUCGUCAGCUCGUGUCGUGAGAUGUUGGGUUAAGUCCCGCAACGAGCGCAACCCCUAUCCUCAGUAGCCAGCAUUUAAGGUGGGCACUCUGGGGAGACUGCCAGGGAUAACCUGGAGGAAGGCGGGGAUGACGUCAAAUCAUCAUGCCCCUUAUGAUUUGGGCUACACACGUGCUACAAUGGCGUAAACAAAGGGAAGCGAACCCGCGAGGGUGGGCAAAUCUCAAAAAUAACGUCCCAGUUCGGACUGCAGUCUGCAACUCGACUGCACGAAGCUGGAAUCGCUAGUAAUCGCGGAUCAGAAUGCCGCGGUGAAUACGUUCCCGGGUCUUGCACUCACCGCCCGUCA
rnacentral:rRNA from 1 species